rnacentral:rRNA from 1 species
GACGAACCGAGCGAACGUUGUUCGGAAUCACUGGGCUUAAAGGGCGCGUAGGCGGGCUGCCAAGUCUGGGGUGAAAUCCCGGCGGCUCAACCGUGGAACUGCCUCAGAUACUGGCGGCCUCGAGGGAGGUAGGGGCGAGCGGAACUAAUGGUGGAGCGGUGAAAUGCGUUGAUAUCAUUAGGAACUCCGGUGGCGAAGGCGGCUCGCUGGACCUUUUCUGACGCUGAGGCGCGAAAGCUAGGGGAGCCAAAGCGGGG